CCGCUAUAUAAGGGCUGAGCAGCCUCCCUCUGCAGACCGGGAGAGACCCACCUGCUCGGACCUCCAGCCCCACACCAUGACGCCCAGGAUGAUUCUCCUUCUGUGUUCCCUGGUCCUCCUGGUGGAAGCUGACCUCGACAACAGCGAUGCAAGUCUUCAAUCAACGUCAACAGAUAAAGACUCCACAUCCGAUGAAGUCAGAACAGCUCCAGCAGCCAAUCAGGUUUAUGGAACUGGUGAGUGUUUUUUGUAGUUUUAGU